UGCUCAGGGUUCACACACGUCCC
rnacentral:piRNA from 1 species